rnacentral:rRNA from 1 species
UACGUAGGGGGCAAGCGUUGUCCGGACUUACUGGGCGUAAAGCGCGUGUAGGCGGAAGCGCAAGUCCGGUGUGAAAGCCCCCGGCUCAACCGGGGAAGGUCGCUGGAAACUGCGCUUCUUGAGGACGACAGAGGGAAGUGGAAUUGCUGGUGUAGCGGUGAAAUGCGUAGAGAUCAGCAGGAACACCCGUGGCGAAGGCGGCUUCCUGGGUCGUGCCUGACGCUGAGACGCGAAAGCGUGGGGAGCGAACGGG